rnacentral:rRNA from 1 species
AGUCAGGGGUGAAAUCCCACAGCUCAACUGUGGAACUGCCUUUGAUACUGUCAGUCUAGAGUAUAGUUGAAGUUGGCGGAAUGUGUCAUGUAGCGGUGAAAUGCUUAGAUAUGACACAGAACACCGAUCGCGAAGGCAGCUAGCUAAGCUAUAACUGACGCUCAUGCACGAAAGCGUGGGGAUCAAACAGGAUUAGAUACCCUGGUAGUCCACGCUGUAAACGAUGAUUACUCGAUGUUGGCGAUACACAGUCAGCGUCUGAGCGAAAGCAAUAAGUAAUCCACCUGGGGAGUACGAUCGCAAGAUUGAAACUCAAAGGAAUUGACGGGGGCCCGCACAAGCGGAGGAGCAUGUGGUUUAAUUCGAUGAUACGCGAGGAACCUUACCUGGGCUCGAACGUAAGAUGACUGUAGGUGAAGGCUUACAUCUCUUCGGAGCAUUUUACGAGGUGCUGCAUGGUUGUCGUCAGCUCGUGCCGUGAGGUGUCGGGUUAAGUCCCAUAACGAGCGCAACCCCUACCUUUAGUUGCCAUCAGGUCAUGCUGGGGACUCUAAAGGAACUGCCUACGCAAGUAGUGAGGAAGGCGGGGAUGACGUCAAAUCAGCACGGCCCUUACGUCCAGGGCUACACACGUGCUACAAUGGCCGAUACAGAGGGCAGCUACCUGGUGACAGGAUGCAAAUCUCCAAAGUCGGUCUCAGUUCGGAUCGGAGUCUGCAACCCGACUCCGUGAAGUUGGAUUCGCUAGUAAUCGCGCAUCAGCCAUGGCGCGGUGAAUACGUUCCCGGGCCUUGUACACACCGCCCGUCAAGCCAUGGAAGCUGGGGGGACCUAAAGUCGAUAACCGCAAGGAGUCGCCUAGGGUAAAACCAGUGACUGGGGCUAAGUCGUAACAAGGUAGCCG